rnacentral:rRNA from 1 species
GUGCCAGCCGCCGCGGUAAUACGUAGGGUGCGAGCGUUAAUCGGAAUUACUGGGCGUAAAGCGUGCGCAGGCGGUUUUGUAAGCCAGAUGUGAAAUCCCCGGGCUUAACCUGGGAAUGGCAUUUGGGACUGCAAGGCUGGAGUUUGGCAGAGGAGACUGGAAUUCCCGGUGUAGCAGUGAAAUGCGUAGAUAUCGGGAGGAAUACCGAUGGCGAAGGCAGGUCUCUGGGCUAUAACUGACGCUCAUGCACGAAAGCGUGGGGAGCAAACAGGAUUAGAUACCCCCGUAGUCC